rnacentral:rRNA from 1 species
GACGAACCGUGCGAACGUUGUUCGGAAUCACUGGGCUUAAAGGGCGCGUAGGCGGACUGCCAAGUCCGGGGUGAAAUCUUUCGGCUCAACCGGAAAAUAGCCUCGGAGACUGGCGGUCUGGAGUGAGGUAGGGGCAGCUGGAACUUCCGGUGGAGCGGUGAAAUGCGUUGAUAUCGGAAGGAACGCCGGUGGCGAAAGCGAGCUGCUGGACCUUUUCUGACGCUGAGGCGCGAAAGCCAGGGGAGCAAACGGG